rnacentral:lncRNA from 1 species
CACAGGUGAGAGAGUUUGAGUGCACAGGUGUGCGUGCGUGUGAGCGUGCGUGCUUGCGUGCGUGCGAGAAGGUCAGAGUGCGCCGCGUGUCCGUGAGUGAAAGUGCGCGUUUUUGUGUUCAGAUGGAGGACGCCCCCAGCUCCCAGAAGAGCGGGCGACUUUCUUCCUCUCACGACUUGGGGAGAGGAGGAGGAGGACCGUUUCCGACGUGGACAGGUUUCGACGUCUUAGGGGUCCAGGUAAAGGCGAUUCAAUUAUGGGAUAUGAGGCUGGUCAGGAAGCAUGAGAGCCUGCACCAUCCUGCAGGCCACAGAGACCUUCGGUGGACAGUUCUGAAUGGGAUAAAGCCUGCAGGCCAGUACUCCCAUGAGAGCUCUUCUCCCACAGGCUGACAUCAGGCUGCCACAGCCACCAGAUCCCCAAGUGGCUUCCUGGAUGAGAGAGAGUUGGAGACCAGGUGGGCUGCCCAGAGCUGGACUUGAACUGAGGCCCUGCGUGGCCUGAACAAGCGGUGACCAGGACUAUAAUCCAGGGCACCCAUGGAGGCUUUCAAGGUUGGCCAGAUUCUCUGCAAACUCAGAUCCAGUCCUGGGCUGGGCCAGUUCUUGAGUGUGAACUCCUGAGAUCCAGCCUAGCACUGUUCUGGGAGUAGCAGCAGUUGUCACCUUCUCCAAAUCCACUGGCCUUUUAAAAAAUAGUUGGAAUUAAGUGAAUCGACUGACAAGGGAUUAAUCUCCAAAAUUUAUAAACAACUUCUGCAGCUCCAUACCAAAAAAAACAAACAACCCCAUCCAAAAAUUGGCAGAAGAUCUAAACAGACAGUUCUCCAAAGAAGACAUACAGAUGGCUGAGAAACACAUGAAAAGAUGUUCAACAUCACUCAUUAUUAGAGAGAUGCAAAUCAAAACCACUAUGAGGUACCACCUUAUACCAGCCAGAAUGGCCAUCAUCCAAAAGUCUACAAACAAGAAGUGCUGGAGAGGGUGUGGAGAAAAAGGAACCCUAUGACACUGUUGGUGGGAUUGUAAAUUGGUGCAACCACUGUGGAAAGCAGUAUGGAGAUGCCUCAGAAAACUAAACAUAGAACUACCAUUUGAUCCAGCAAUCCCACUCCUGGGCAUCUACCCAGAGAAAACCACGACUCGAAAAGACACAUGCACUCCGAUGGUCAUUGACGCACUCUUUGCAAUAGCCAAGACAUGGAAACAACCUAAAUGUCCAUCGACAGAGGAGUGGAUCCAGAAGACGUGGUACAUAUACACAAUGGAAUAUUACUCAGCCGUUAAAAAAGAACGAAAUGCCAGCAUUUUUUGCAAGAUGGAUGGACCUAGAAACUAUCAUGCUAAGUGAAGUCAGCCAUACAAUGAGACACCAACAUCAAAUGCUUUCAGU